UACGUAGGGGGCAAGCGUUGUCCGGAAUCAUUGGGCGUAAAGAGCGCGUAGGCGGCCCUGUAAGUCCGCUGUGAAAGUCAAGGGCUCAACCCUUGAAUGCCGGUGGAUACUGCAGGGCUAGAGUCCGGAAGAGGCGAGUGGAAUUCCUGGUGUAGCGGUGAAAUGCGCAGAUAUCAGGAGGAACACCGAUGGCGAAGGCAGACUCGCUGGG
rnacentral:rRNA from 1 species